rnacentral:rRNA from 1 species
CUUGGUCAUUUAGAGGAAGUAAAAGUCGUAACAAGGUUUCCGUAGGUGAACCUGCGGAAGGAUCAUUAGCGAAACAUUUGUCGAGAAGGGUUGUAGCUGGCCUCGUUUGGCAUGUGCACGCCUGGAUUCCAAAUUUCAUCCUAUCACACACCUGUGCACAUCCUGUAGCUUUGAGGCGCUGAUGAGGCGGAUUUCCAGCUUCAGAUGCGUUCUCGGCUGCAAGCUUUUAUCACACACACACUUUAUUGAGUACUAGAAUGUAACUGUCGCAGCGUGUAAAAACGCGAAAUAUACAACUUUCAGCAACGGAUCUCUUGGCUCUCGCAUCGAUGAAGAACGCAGCGAAAUGCGAUAAGUAAUGUGAAUUGCAGAAUUCAGUGAAUCAUCGAAUCUUUGAACGCACCUUGCGCUCCUUGGUAUUCCGAGGAGCAUGCCUGUUUGAGUGUCAUGAAAUUCUCAACCGCCUUUGUGGGGCUUUGUUCCCAGAAGGGUGAAGUUGGAUUUGGAGGAUUAUCUUGCUGGCGCUCUUCAAUGAGCUUUGUCGGCUCCUCUCGAAUGCAUGAGCCUUCCUGUGCAUUAUUUGUGAAGCGAACUCUGAUGUGAUAAUUAUCUACGUUGGAUGUCGCGUUUGCAUUGGGCAUGAAUGGAUUGCAAAAUGCAGAUGAUUGCAUCUUUUGGGAUGCGUCUUGACCAAUUCGACCUCAAAUCAGGUAGGACUACCCGCUGAACUUAAGCAUAUCAAUAAGCGGAGGA